GCGAGUGAACAGGGAAAAGCUCAAAGUGUUAAUCUAGUUGUGGGCUCACCACAUCUCGAAUUGUAGCUUCAUAGUAAUGUAUCCAUGAAACAAGACCCGAGUUCAAGUUCUCUGGAAAGGGACAUCAAAGAGGGUGGGAAUCCCGUAGUGAGUUUAUAUAUAUUCUUAUUUAUUUUUUUUAUUUUUUAUAUAUAUAGAUAAUAUUUUCUUUUUUUUAUAUUUUUUAAUAUUAUUUACUAUAUAUUUAUUUUUAUUAUAUUUUUUGUAAGUGUAUAUAUUUAUUCUCUAUAACUUGGGGACAAGAGAAUUAAUUUUUUGUUUCUUCAUGUGUUGCAUUACUUCAGAGUCGGGUUGUUUGGGAUUGCAGCCCUAAGUAGGUGGUAAACUUCAUCUAAAGCUAAAUAUCAGCGAGAGACCGAUAGCGCAUAAGUACCGUGAGGGAAAGAUGAAAAGGACUUUGAAAAGAGAGUCAAAAGUACUUGAAAUUGUUAAAAGGUAAACAAUUGACCUUAGUGUAAUAUAACAUAUUUAUUAUAAUUAUAUAUUAUAUAUUAUAUAUUAUUUUUUUUUUUAUUAUUUAUUUAUUUUUUUUCUUUUUUUAAUAAAAAAAAAAAUUUUUUUUCUUUAUAUAUAAUUAUAAAUGUUUUAUUAGUCUAUAUCAGUUUAUUUAGAAAAUAGAAAGAUAUUUAAAAAGGUGUAUUAAUAUGUAUUUAUAUAUAUUAAUAUCUUAUAUUUUAGAUAUUUAUUAAAAGUUUCAAAUAAACUGAGGAAAAUAACUUGUAAGCUUGGUAAUCUUCAAAGAUUCUGGGCAAGGCUAACUAGGUAUUCAGAAAUAGUAUUUUUAGAUCAGAAUAGUAACUAUUGUGGUUCGAAAUAUUAUUAUUUUUUUAUAAAAUCUAGAGUCUAAUU
rnacentral:rRNA from 1 species